AGAGUUUGAUCCUGGCUCAGAAUGAACGUUGGCGGCGUGGAUUAGGCAUGCAAGUCGAGCGAGAACCGUAGCAAUACGGGGACAGCGGCGCAAGGGACAGUAAUGUGUAGAUCAUCUGCCCUCAGGACCGGGAUAGCUGCGGGAAACUGCAGGUAAUACCGGAUAACAUCUCCGGAUCAAAGGUGUGAUUCCGCCUGAGGAUGAGUCUACAUCCUAUUAGCUAGUUGGUAGGGUAACGGCCUACCAAGGCGAUGAUGGGUAGCGGGUGUGAGAGCACGACCCGCGUCAUUGGGACUGAGACACUGCCCAGACACCUACGGGUGGCUGCAGUCGAGAAUCUUCGGCAAUGGGCGCAAGCCUGACCGAGCGACGCCGCGUGUGGGAUGAAGGCCUUCGGGUUGUAAACCACUGUUAGAGGGGAUGAAAUGCAGGUGGGUUCUCCCAUUUGUUUGACAUAGCC
rnacentral:rRNA from 1 species